UUACGGCCAAAUCACGUUGAAACAUCGGUUCCAGUACGAUCACUGAAGUUAAGUAACAUCGAAUCUGUUCAGCACUUAGAUGGGUGACCACUUGGGAAAACCGGGUGCUGUAAG